rnacentral:rRNA from 1 species
GACGAACGCUGGCGGCGUGCUUAACACAUGCAAGUCGAACGGAAAGGCCCUGCUUUUGUUGGGUGCUCGAGUGGCGAACGGGUGAGUAACACGUGAGUAACCUGCCCUUGACUUUGGGAUAACUUCAGGAAACUGCGGCUAAUACCUGCUAGGAGCUCCUGCUGCAUGGUGGGGGUUGGAAAGUUUCGGCGGGUGGGGAUUGACUCGCGGCUUAUCAGCUUGUUGGUGGGGUAGUGGCUUACCAAGGCUUUGAAGGGUAGCCGGCCUGAGAGGGUGACCGGCCACAUUGGGACUGAGAGACGGACCAGAGUCCUACGGGAGGCAGCAGUGGGGAAUAUGGCACAAUGGGCGGAAGCCUGAUGCAGCAACGCCGGGUGCGGGAUGAGGGCCUUCGGGGUGUAAACCGCUUUCGCCUGUGACGAAGCGUGAGUGACGGUAAUGGGUAAAGAAGCACCGGCUAACUACGUG